AACAGGAUUAGAUACCCUGGUAGUCCAUGCCGUAAACGUUGGGCACUAGGUGUGGGGACCAUUCCACGGUUUCCGCGCCGCAGCUAACGCAUUAAGUGCCCCGCCUGGGGAGUACGGCCGCAAGGCUAAAACUCAAAGGAAUUGACGGGGGCCCGCACAAGCGGCGGAGCAUGCGGAUUAAUUCGAUGCAACGCGAAGAACCUUACCAAGGCUUGACAUGUUCUCGAUCGCCGUAGAGAUACGGUUUCCCCUUUGGGGCGGGAUCACAGGUGGUGCAUGGUUGUCGUCAGCUCGUGUCGUGAGAUGUUGGGUUAAGUCCCGCAACGAGCGCAACCCUCGUUCCAUGUUGCCAGCACGUAAUGGUGGGGACUCAUGGGAGACUGCCGGGGUCAACUCGGAGGAAGGUGGGGACGACGUCAAAUCAUCAUGCCCCUUAUGUCUUGGGCUUCACGCAUGCUACAAUGGCCGGUACAAUGGGUUGCGAUACUGUGAGGUGGAGCUAAUCCCAAAAAGCCGGUCUCAGUUCGGAUUGGGGUCUGCAACUCGACCCCAUGAAGUCGGAGUCGCUAGUAAUCGCAGAUCAGCAACGCUGCGGUGAAUACGUUCCCGGGCCUUGUACACACCGCCCGUCAAGUCACGAAAGUCGGUAACACCCGAAGCCGGUGGCCUAACCCUUGUGGGGGGAGCCGUCGAAGGUGGGACCAGCGAUUGGGACUAAGUCGUAACAAGGUAAGCCGU
rnacentral:rRNA from 1 species